CCAUAGUGGUGAAAGGGUGUGUGUAAGGAAAGAAUUAUAUAUCCCUUAAAAUUACUGUCCUCAUUUAUUAAAUCCUCCAGAUGUGUUUCCUAGACCUUGUCUGUCCCUAAUCAUCUUCUUUUAUGUUCCUUAACAUAACAUUGCUAGAUAGUCAAAGUUUCUAGUGGGAACACUGGCAUGUUUUUGUACCUAAUGUACAAACCACCUGCUCAUCAGAGAUUCACAAAUCCCAUGGAGGCACUUACAUUUGAAAACAAAACUCAGAGUCUGGAGAUCAAAACAAGUAAUGAGCACAUAUGACAGUGUCUUUGCCACAUUAAGUGAUUUUAUCACAUCCUUUGAUUAAAAAAGAACAGCAAGAUCUGACACUGCAGGUAUUUUGCAGCACAUCGCCUGCAGAAAACGGUUUAAAAAGCUGCAUUUCGAAAAACAGCCCAGAUUUUGCUACUUUUUUGAAUUAAUGCUGCAUUUAGAAAUUCUUUAUAACCUAUACAUACAGCUAGUACCAUAGACAUGGGUAGGAAUGGAUCAUAAUAUACAGGACCUGCAAUAAAAAGACCAAAAAAACAACUUCAAUUUGACACAGGAAGAAGAAAAAUUACAUAGCACUGCCAGUGCCUUGGCCCUGCAGGAGUCCAAAGAACUUGCUAAUUGGGAUCCCCAGGCGUUCCCAAGCAGCUGCCCAUUACAACACAAACUACAGCUCCCCCAUGGUCUCUGCCAGACUUGCCAAAUAGAACAGAAAAGGAAAAAGGGGUUUCCCUCCUGAUCUCCAUAUCUGGUAAAACCGGGUAACACACCAAUACACCCAAUCAUCCCCACAAACAAACCCAUCUCUAUUAAUAGCUAAGUUUGAAGCUUCACAAAAAGAUUAACACUGUCAUCCUGGCCAUCACUGUGGCUGAAGGGGGAUACCCUUGUUCUGGCUGUAUAGAGAUGAUAGAACCCCUUACACUGUUAUUCCAUUACUGACUUGCAAUGGGAUGAACACAAAUUAUCAGAGUUCUGGGGAGGAUUUCACUGCUUUUCACCUCUCAUUUCCCCUGAAGUCCUCACCUUCUUAGGAUAUUGUAACUGCUGAUAUGUUCCGCAGUUUCUACUAGACAUACAAAGUUCAUUAAAUACUUGUAUAUUCUCAGACUUUUAUUCUCCUAUUUGUACUUAUUGAUUUCAAUUCUUCUCUACUAUUAUUGUCUUCUCACAACCAAGUUAUCGGCAUGAAAUAUUUUAAACUCAUCUCUGUGAAAGAACCAUGGAAAAGCAAAAUACAUUGCCUUAAAGCUUUGACAGUUUUAUGUAGUCACAAAUGAAUGAUCUGAAAAAAAAAGCAUCCACUAUAAGUAACACUGGGAAAAUUAAUCUCAUUCCAUUGAAAAUAACAGAUUCAAAAGUUAAAAAUAGUCUCCCAAGAAAAAUAAUAUAACUGGGGGUACAAGUUCCCCCUUCUCCUUUGUAUUCAUGAAGUUUAAACUUUCUCUGUAGGUUUAAAUAUCUUUCCACUUGGCUUUUCUUUUUCAGCCCAAAAACCAACAGCACUGAGGUCCCAGUGAUGAGGAAUGAGGAAUGACUCACCAGCAAGUGCUGAGUCACAAUCACACCAAAUACACUCUUACAUCUUGAUGGAGCAUCAAAUUCAAUAGCUUUGCUUAGUCACUUGAGCUUGCCCUAAUUCCUAUGAUUCACUCAAUUUCAAAACUCUGAUUUCUGAUUCCUUGUUUUUUCUUUGCAAUAUAUAUUCCACUGUAUAACUCUUAUACAACUCUUAAAGCAGAAUUGUUGCAAGCCAUCACUAACCCUCAGUCAGAUCACGGGCUUCAGACACAAGGUGGGUCACUUAUCAAAUCCAAGUGGCCAAUACGCCCCAGUGCGCAUUGGAUUAAUUUGGAAGUGCUGAUCUCCCACUCCUUGCACACCCACAAAAAAUUCCAGCUGACAUUGGAAGAUACAUGCAUCAGGAUUUCAUCCUGUCCUGACUCAUGCCAGCAGCAACCUACCAUCAGCUAAAAGUGUGACCUUUCUCUGGGAGGGCUCCUCAGCCUGACAAGGAACAUUGAUGCAGCACAGCUUCUGCGGGCUGAGCAGCUGAGAUUCAUGACCUGAAGGAUUUCUUUUUGUUUCCAAGUGACACAUCAAGUGUGUGAAGAGGGGUUCUCCUUUCCAGCCCAACACAGGGGAGAAGAAAGGGAAAGCAAGCCAGUGGAGUGUGAUUUGGAGUGGAUACAGUGAGAAUCCUAAAUUGGAGAAUACCAUUCCAAAACCAUGAUAAUUUUCAACUAUCUGUACUUCAGCAACUAAUUUUUUAUUAAAAAACCCAGAAGUGCCAAGAAAGUUUUUUAGUUUUUUGGUUUUCCUUAAGAGUAUUAAAUAAAAUUCAAAUAAAUUGAAA